ACCUUUAUAGUAUCUUUUUCACUAACUUAAAUGCAUCUGGUGAUCACCUUUCCUGCUUUACUUUUAAACUUUGACUAAGGAAACUAUUUACUUGUCUGCAGCUACUAAAAACAAUAUUUCGCGUUAUAUAAAUUACCCAUGUACGUGAUUCAAUGAAAUAACAUGCAGCGGUAACUAUUCACACGGCGGAACCUUUCUAUAUCAAUAAAUAGAUCAUAAUAUUAGUUAACUAC